rnacentral:rRNA from 1 species
CGCAUCUGUGCAUGCAGCAUAUCAAUAAGCGGAGGAAAAGGAAUGAGCGAAUUACAGAGCAUUGACAAGGCAUAUGUUGCGAAUACCUACGCUUAGGAUGUUGACGAGACUGUCGAUCUCAUCUAUACAUGACUCUGUGCAUGCAGCAUAUCAAUAAGCGGAGGAAAAGAAACUAACAAGGAUUCCCCUAGUAACGGCGAGUGAAGCGGGAAGAGCUCAAAUUUGAAAUCUUAAAGGGUUUCCCUUUACGAAUUGUAGUUUAAAGAAGUGUUUUCUGUUGAGGUUUUGGUAAAAGUUCUUUGGAAUAGGACAUCAUAGAGGGUGAGAAUCCCGUAUUUGACCUUUACUUUCAACUUUGUGAUACACUUUCAAAGAGUCGGAUUGUUUGGGAAUGCAGUCCAAAAUGGGUGGUAAAUUUCAUCUAAAGCUAAAUAUUGGCGAGAGACCAAUAGCGAACAAGUACCGUGAGGGAAAGAUGAAAAGAACUUUGAAAAGAGAGUUAAACAGUACGUGAAAUUGUCAAAAGGGAAGCGUUUGACACCAGUGUUGUUUUUCUGAAAAUCAAUUAAAGAACUGUUUAUGCUAAGCUUGUUUAGACUUUAUCAGCUAACUGUUUAGUUUUGAGCUUUUCUUUAAUGCACUUUUCAGUUAACAAGUCAACAUCAAUUUCUUUUGCUGUAAAAAAGCUUGAGGAAGGUGGCUUGAGAUUCGUCUUAAGUGUUUAUAGCCUCUUGCCUAUGCAGUCGGAGAGAUUGAGGUCUGCAGCGUAGAUCCUUCGGGGCUAAAUGCAUUUGUGCUAAGUUAUAGCAUGUUAUAGACAACUUGUUGACUAUGAUUUGUCUUGUAGCUUACUCGCUUAUGUUAUUUUACCUACGCUUAGGAUGUUGACGAGACUGUCGAUCGCAUCUAGUGCAUGCAUGGCAUAUCAAUAAGCGGAGGAAAAGAAACUAACAAGGAUUCCCCUAGUAACGGCGAGUGAAGCGGGAAGAGCUCAAAUUUGAAAUCUUAAAGGGUUUCCCUUUACGAAUUGUAGUUUAAAGAAGUGUUUUUCUGUUGAGGUUUUGGUAAAAGUUCUUUGGAAUAGGACAUCAUAGAGGGUGAGAAUCCCGUAUUUGACCUUUACUUUCAACUUUGUGAUACACUUUCAAAGAGUCGGAUUGUUUGGGAAUGCAGUCCAAAAUGGGUGGUAAAUUUCAUCUAAAGCUAAAUAUUGGCGAGAGACCGAUAGCGAACAAGUACCGUGAGGGAAAGAUGAAAAGAACUUUGAAAAGAGAGUUAAACAGUACGUGAAAUUGUCAAAAGGGAAGCGUUUGACACCAGUGUUGUUUUUCUGAAAAUCAAUUAAAGAACUGUUUAUGCUAAGCUGUUUAGACUUUAUCAGCUAACUGUUUAGUUUUGAGCUUUUCUUUAAUGCACUUUUCAGUUAACAAGUCAACAUCAAUUUCUUUUGCUGUAAAAAAGCUUGAGGAAGGUGGCUUGAGAUUCGUCUUAAGUGUUUAUAGCCUCUUGCCUAUGCAGUCGGAGAGAUUGAGGUCUGCAGCGUAGAUCCUUCGGGGCUAAAUGCAUUUGUGCUAAGUUAUAGCAUUUUAUAGACAACUUGUUGACUAUGAUUUGUCUUGUAGCUUACUCGCUUAUGUUAUUUUACCUACGCUUAGGAUGUUGACGAGACUGUCGAUCUC